CCAGAUCAUGGAGGAAAGAUUUCUGCUUCGGCGAGGUAUUAUCACCAGUUGCCGACGAGAGAAAUGGCAAGGAAGGGCUGGUUCAAGGGUUUUUGAUGGUGGGGAGUUAGAAUCUAGCAUCGGUUUGCCUAAAGGACGCCGGCAAGGCAAUGAUCUGAUGAUGACAGCAAGGACGACAGCUCCUCCUCUAAUUUCUUUCGAUUUUCCGAGGAGAAUGGUAGGAAAAGGGCGACGACGGCAGAAAGAAGGGAAGGGAAGGGAGGUUGGUGGUUAGGUGGAGGUAAAGGCGGUUGAAAUAGAGGUAAGGGGGAGGAAGAAAUGGUGCAACGAGGAAGAAGGAGAAGGAGGAGGGAGAAGGUGAGCACAUGGGCAUUUUUGCAAUUAUCUAAAGUUCCGAAAACAUAAGCUUAGG
rnacentral:lncRNA from 1 species